GCCAUUGCAGAUAAACUGGAAAGGGUAGGUUCUCCACGGACUGAAAUGCGAUGAGGUUGACUACAUGGUCAGCAGGCAGAUCUCAUGGUCCAUUUUAGAGAGAGACAAUGCAUUCUAGCAUAUCCAGGAUGAGGCCCUGGCAGUUGUUUUGGUGCAGUGAUUAAUGUUCCCUAAUGUUCACGCCCAGCAACUUUUACACACGCAACUUUGAUACAAUGAUUCCACUUAUCGGAUAUGUUAAAAGAUUGGCAUAUAACAUGUAGGAUGAGUUAACUGAGAACUUUUUCAACGUUUUUAACCAUGGACAGGUAUGAUCUCAUUUAAAGAAAGACAACAACCCUGCCUGCUCUGUGAAACCUUGUUGGUGAGGAAUGAGGAAAGGGAAAGGUGAGAAAGGAGAUGAAAACCAACUAGAGAUCUAUUGCAGCCAUCCCACUGAGUCAUAAUGGAAUGGGCAAGGGCCACCACAGCUCAAGUCCACACGGUGGUUUCACACCCACGAGCCCCACAUCAGAACAAAAUCCAGGACAGCAAGAGGAUGGACUUCUUUUUUCGCGGUAUCCACAUGUCCUCCACUAACCUCGAGAGUUCCUGCAGCGCAUGCCAAAGACGGUGUGUCAGAAGUCUCAGCGAGGCUAGGGAGCAUGUUAUCGCAUCGGCCUGAAACAUGAAUGGCUACUAGCCGACUCGCUGUCCUAAUCCAGGUAACUCACUGCUGGGGUGAGGAGGUGUUUUCAAGUGUAUUAAGAAACCUCAUUC
rnacentral:lncRNA from 9 species